CCCCUCUUAAGAUCCUACCUGGAGAGUUCCCAGUACUCUACCAGUCUCGGCUACAGGAGGAAGAGUCAAGCAGAGCAUACACCCAUUCCAUUCCUAGCUUGGGCAGUGGCUAGUAAGUGAAAGGCAAUCUGCUACAAGU
rnacentral:snoRNA from 1 species